rnacentral:rRNA from 1 species
UACAGAGGGUGCAAGCGUUGUUCGGAAUUAUUGGGCGUAAAGGGCGCGUAGGCGGUGCGGUAAGUCUGUAGUGAAAUCUCUGGGCUCAACUCAGAGUCUGCUGCAGAAACUGCCGUGCUUGAGUGCGGGAGAGGUGAGUGGAAUUCCCGGUGUAGCGGUGAAAUGCGUAGAUAUCGGAAGGAACACCAGUGGCGAAAGCGGCUUCCUGGUCCGACACCGACGUUCAGGCACGAAAGCGUGGGGAGCAAACAGG